AGCGGAAGUGCCCAAGUAAUACUCCCAGGGUUCCAGUGCAGUGCCACCAUCAGAGAAAGAAGUUUUGGUCAUUACCUUCUGCUAACGGAGAGCUCAGGGGUCCAGGCAGAAGCAAAGAGAACGGGGACCCACAUACCACUCUGCCUCUAAUCCAUUUGGCCAGAGUUUCCCAGAGACUCUCUGGAGAAAGUCAGCCUUGCGAUGGGCACACUGACAUCUGCGUCUGGGUCCUAGUUCACGCUUUUGAGACUUUUCGUAUGAACCGCGUUGUAGAAUACCCUUGCUUGGUCAGUUACUGGUCCCUGGUAUCUAACCGUGCCUUUCUGCUGCCCCGGUUGGUCGGCACAGCCCUCCGCUGAUACUUAAGUAGGAAUGUGAUGGGCGUUGUAAGCGUGGGAAACUAUGUAAAUUGUGUUUGUAUUUAAUGAUGAUCCCCUUAGGUGGUUGUACUGCAGUUUGAUCAUGUUGUAAACUCCCGCAUAAGAUAAAUGUAUAUCUGCUUUUGUACGCUCAUUAAAUAUUUUAACAGACCAAA
rnacentral:lncRNA from 1 species